rnacentral:misc_RNA from 1 species
UCCUGGUUAACCCAGGCAGUCUCACUAGAGUUCCCACCAUUACGUGUUGGCAACUAGUGAUAAGGGUUGCGCUCGUUGCGGGACUUAACCCAACACCUCACGGCACGAGCUGACGACAGCCAUGCAGCACCUGUGCAGAGACCCCGAAGGGAGACGCCAUCUCUGGCGCUGUCCUCUGCAUGUCAAGCCUGGGUAAGGUUCUUCGCGUUGCAUCGAAUUAAACCACAUGCUCCACUGCUUGUGCGGGUCCCCGUCAAUUCUUUUGAGUUUCACCCUUGCGAGCGUACUCCUCAGGCGGUAUACUUAUCGCGUUAGCUACGGCACAGUCGGGGUUGAGUCCGACUACACCAAGUAUACAUAGUUUACGGCAAGGACUAC